UACGGAGGUGGCAAGCGUUGCUCGGAAUCACUGGGCGUAAAGAGCGUGUAGGCGGCUAUUUAAGUCCUGCGUGAAAUCCUGCGGCUCAACCGCAGACGGUCGUGGGAAACUGGAUGGCUAGAGUGCGGGAGAGGAGAGUGGAAUUCCCGGUGUAGCGGUGAAAUGCGCAGAUAUCGGGAAGAACACCCGUGGCGAAGGCGGCUCUCUGGAACGCAACUGACGCUGAGACGCGAAAGCGUGGGGAGCAAACAGG
rnacentral:rRNA from 1 species